AUAGUUGUCCAACUGUCGGAUUUGUACUCUCUGCGUUUCAAUGUCAGCCGCAGAUUUGUGUUACCAUAUCCAGCGAAGCUAAAUUGGUAGAUGCCUUCACAAUACAUGUAACAUGAAAAAGAUCAAAGAGUCUUUCGAAAAUACGCAGAUAGGCUUUGGCGCAACGUCUUACAAGAUACGCUCCAAAAGAUGUUACAACAUGAGAUGUCAUCUGAUGAUUCUCAUGUACUCUUCAUACCACAAUGACUUAAAUAACAAUGACUUAAUAAAACGGAUGAUUUAGCAAAUCGCCGGCUUGGUUUGACGGAAAAUUACGAUUCAAUUCUGAAGAUUUUCUAAAACAUCACGGAGGAAUCAAUUGUUUAUUCCAAAGUCUUUAUAUGGAGAAUGUAAUCUAUGGUUGAAUUGACCUAUGAUUUGUCACGAGAAAAUCAACGUUAUAAUUUUGCAAGAAGUGAAACGCAAGUAAAGCAAUAAAACUUGGUUAACGAUCUGGCUAACAAUGUUAGGAAAAACCCAUACUUUAUGUCGAUUUUAUGUUAGCUGGACGUUCUGCUGAAUCCUUCGGCCUUCGUCGGUAGAGUGCUGCAACAAAUUAUCGAGUUUUUUGAAGAAGAAAUGUAUUCUUUAGAGAUAUAUCAUGUUUUUCUCCAAAAAAGUCUAUAUGUCAGGAUGGCAUUCAGGAUUAGGAAUGUAAUUGACUUUUAAUUAGAAUUUAAUAAAAAAAUGUUGUUACAAAAUAUGCGUACAACUUUAUUCAUUGCGUUAACGUUUGUUAUAUUGACAAAUUUAAUAAUGUUACAGAAAAAUAAAUCGCACUGUUCGUUGUAGAUGCGCGCGCGCAUGUUUUUCGUUGUUGUCUAGUCAAUCGGUACUUCUCCCGCUUCUGUGCCGCAAUCUCUCUCCUUUUUUUUCAUUUCCUGCCAAUUUUACAAAUCUUCUCUCUGAUAUAACUGCUGUGAUAGCAGGCGAUUAAGACAUUUAUAUAUCAAUAAAAAUAGAAAAAUUGAGAUGUAGUUGAUAGAUAGAUACAAAGAAAUAAUAGAUAAGUUAAUAAAUAGGUAUUAAAAUCAAAAAGAGAGUAUAGAGCAAGCAAUAUGGACUAGAUUAAAAA